CGCGACCCCAGGUCAGGCGGGGCUACCCGCUGAGUUUAAGCAUAUCAAUAAGCGGAGGAAAAGAAACUAUGAGUUAUCCAUU
rnacentral:rRNA from 1 species